rnacentral:rRNA from 1 species
AUUGAACGCUGGCGGCAGGCCUAACACAUGCAAGUCGAGCGGAUGAAGGGAGCUUGCUCCUGGAUUCAGCGGCGGACGGGUGAGUAAUGCCUAGGAAUCUGCCUGGUAGUGGGGGAUAACGUCCGGAAACGGGCGCUAAUACCGCAUACGUCCUGAGGGAGAAAGUGGGGGAUCUUCGGACCUCACGCUAUCAGAUGAGCCUAGGUCGGAUUAGCUAGUUGGUGGGGUAAAGGCCUACCAAGGCGACGAUCCGUAACUGGUCUGAGAGGAUGAUCAGUCACACUGGAACUGAGACACGGUCCAGACUCCUACGGGAGGCAGCAGUGGGGAAUAUUGGACAAUGGGCGAAAGCCUGAUCCAGCCAUGCCGCGUGUGAAGAAGGUCUUCGGAUUGUAAAGCACUUUAAGUUGGGAGGAAGGGCAGUAAGUUAAUACCUUGCCGUUUUGACGUUACCAACAGAAUAAGCACCGGCUAACUUCGUG